rnacentral:rRNA from 1 species
GACGAACGCUGGCGGCGUGCUUAACACAUGCAAGUCGAACGGAAAGGCCUGCUUUCCCUUGUGGAUUGCGGGUACUCUAGUGGCGAACGGGUGAGUAACACGUGAGUUAUCUUCCCCCAACUUGGGUAUAAGCCUGGGAAACUGGGUCUAAUUCCCGAUAGGACUGCAGGGUGUUUCCUGUGGUGGAAAACGAUUUUCUAUUGUUUGGGGAUGAGCUCGCGGCCUAUCAGCUUGUUGGUUGGGUAAUGGCCUACCAAGGCGGCGACGGGUAGCCGGCCUGAGAGGGUGGAAGGCCAGAUUGGGACUGAGAUACGGCCCAGACUCCUACGGGAGGCAGCAGUGGGGAAUAUUGCACAAGGGGAGGAAGCCUGAUGCAGCGACGCCGCGUGGGGGAUGACGGCCUUCGGGUUGUAAACUCCUUUCGACCGCGAGGAAGCCACCUGGUUGGAAGGGUGGUGACGGUAGUGGUAGAAGAAGCACCGGCUAACUACGUG